rnacentral:rRNA from 1 species
AUUGAACGCUGGCGGCAUGCCUUACACAUGCAAGUCGAACGGCAGCACGGGAGCAAUCCUGGUGGCGAGUGGCGAACGGGUGAGUAAAGUAUCGGAACGUGCCCAGUCGUGGGGGAUAACGUAGCGAAAGUUACGCUAAUACCGCAUACGAUCUAUGGAUGAAAGCGGGGGAUCGCAACACCUCGCGCGAUUGGAGCGGUCGAUAUCAGAUUAGGUAGUUGGUGGGGUAAAGGCUCACCAAGCCGACGAUCUGUAGCUGGUCUGAGAGGACGACCAGCCACACUGGGACUGAGACACGGCCCAGACUCCUACGGGAGGCAGCAGUGGGGAAUUUUGGACAAUGGGCGAAAGCCUGAUCCAGCCAUGCCGCGUGCAGGAUGAAGGCCUUCGGGUUGUAAACUGCUUUUGUACGGAACGAAAAGGUUUGGCCUAAUAAGCUGAGCUCAUGACGGUACCGUAAGAAUAAGCACCGGCUAACUACGUGCCAGCCGCCGCUGUAA